rnacentral:rRNA from 1 species
AGUUUGAUCCUGGCUCAGUAUUGAACGCUGGCGGAAUGCUUUACACAUGCAAGUCGAACGGUAGAGGGGGCAACCCCUUGAGAGUGGCGAACGGGUGAGUAAUAUAUCGGAACGUGCCCGGUCGUGGGGGAUAACGUAGCGAAAGCUACGCUAAUACCGCAUACGAUCUACGGAUGAAAGCGGGGGAUCGCAAGACCUCGCGCGAUUGGAGCGGCCGAUAUCAGAUUAGGUAGUUGGUGAGGUAAAGGCUCACCAAGCCGACGAUCUGUAGCUGGUCUGAGAGGACGACCAGCCACACUGGGACUGAGACACGGCCCAGACUCCUACGGGAGGCAGCAGUGGGGAAUUUUGGACAAUGGGCGCAAGCCUGAUCCAGCAAUGCCGCGUGCAGGAUGAAGGCCUUCGGGUUGUAAACUGCUUUUGUACGGAACGAAACGGUGAGCUCUAAUACAGUUUGCUAAUGACGGUACCGUAAGAAUAAGCACCGGCUAACUACGUG